GCCUUCGGGAUGUAAUGGUCAGCACACUGAGCCGGUAUUUCAGAGGUCCGUGGUUCGAUCCCCGGCGAAGGCA
rnacentral:tRNA from 1 species